rnacentral:misc_RNA from 1 species
AACAUCGCGCACCUGCGGGAACCUGCGGAGGGAUCAUUACUGAAUGGUCUCCACGACCUUUGACCCAUAAAGCCUGUGGCAAAAUCAUGUGCUUUGGCGCCCUCGGGGCGCCAUGACCAUGCAUGUAUAUGUCCUGUCGUCUGAAGUAUUGUAACAAGCAAAACUUUCAACAAUGGAUCU